rnacentral:rRNA from 1 species
UACGGGGGGGGCAAGCGUUGUUCGGAAUUACUGGGCGUAAAGGGCUCGUAGGUGGCCAACUAAGUCAGACGUGAAAUCCCCAGGCUUAACCUGGGAACUGCGUCUGAUACUGGAAGGCUUGAGUUCGGGAGAGGAAUGUGGAAUUCCAGGUGUAGCGGUGAAAUGCGUAGAUAUCUGGAGGAACAUCGGUGGCGAAGGCGGCAUUCUGGACCGAAACUGACGCUGAGGCGCGAAAGCCAGGGGAGCAAACGGG